CAGUGUGUGUGUUAGUGGAAGCGUCUGGAAAGGCGUGCGAUACAGGGUGACAGCCCCGUACACAAAAAUGCACAUAUUGUGAGCUCGAUGAGUAGGGCGGGACACGUGGUAUCCUGUCUGAAUAUGGGGGGACCAUCCUCCAAGGCUAAAUACUCCUGACUGACCGAUAGUGAACCAGUACCGUGAGGGAAAGGCGAAAAGAACCCCGGCGAGGGGAGUGAAAAAGAACCUGAAACCGUGUACGUACAAGCAGUGGGAGCACGCUUAGGCGUGUGACUGCGUACCUUUUGUAUAAUGGGUCAGCGACUUAUAUUCUGUAGCAAGGUUAACCGAAUAGGGGAGCCGAAGGGAAACCGAGUCUUAACUGGGCGUUAAGUUGCAGGGUAUAGACCCGAAACCCGGUGAUCUAGCCAUGGGCAGGUUGAAGGUUGGGUAACACUAACUGGAGGACCGAACCGACUAAUGUUGAAAAAUUAGCGGAUGACUUGUGGCUGGGGGUGAAAGGCCAAUCAAACCGGGAGAUAGCUGGUUCUCCCCGAAAGCUAUUUAGGUAGCGCCUCGUGAAUUCAUCUCCGGGGGUAGAGCACUGUUUCGGCAAGGGGGUCAUCCCGACUUACCAACCCGAUGCAAACUGCGAAUACCGGAGAAUGUUAUCACGGGAGACACACGGCGGGUGCUAACGUCCGUCGUGAAGAGGGAAACAACCCAGACCGCCAGCUAAGGUCCCAAAGUCAUGGUUAAGUGGGAAACGAUGUGGGAAGGCCCAGACAGCCAGGAUGUUGGCUUAGAAGCAGCCAUCAUUUAAAGAAAGCGUAAUAGCUCACUGGUCGAGUCGGCCUGCGCGGAAGAUGUAACGGGGCUAAACCAUGCAC
rnacentral:rRNA from 1 species